ACGCUUUCUCAGGGCAGGGUGAAAUUCCCGACCGGCGGUAACGGGGCUCAGGCCUCGAAGCCCGCGAGCGCCUCAGCGACGUUGAGGGUCAGCAGACUCGGUGCAAUUCCGGGGCCGACGGUAACAGUCCGGAUGGGAGAGAGAGCAU
rnacentral:ncRNA from 2 species